rnacentral:rRNA from 1 species
UUGGACCCACCUGAUUCCAUCCCGAACUCAGAAGUGAAACGAAACAGCGUCGAUGGUAGUGUGGGGUUUCCCCAUGUGAGAGUAGAACAUCGCCAGGC